GGUCCAGACUUUGAUCAUGGCUCAGGAUGAACGCUAGCUACAGGCUUAACACAUGCAAGUCGAGGGGAAACGACAUCGAAAGCUUGCUUUUGAUGGGCGUCGACCGGCGCACGGGUGAGUAACGCGUAUCCAACCUGCCCACCACUUGGGGAUAACCUUGCGAAAGUAAGACUAAUACCCAAUGACGUCUCUAGAAGACAUCUGAAAGAGAUUAAAGAUUUAUCGGUGAUGGAUGGGGAUGCGUCUGAUUAGCUUGUUGGCGGGGUAACGGCCCACCAAGGCAACGAUCAGUAGGGGUUCUGAGAGGAAGGUCCCCCACAUUGGAACUGAGACACGGUCCAAACUCCUACGGGAGGCAGCAGUGAGGAAUAUUGGUCAAUGGACGGGAGUCUG
rnacentral:rRNA from 1 species